rnacentral:rRNA from 1 species
UACGUAGGGUGCGAGCGUUAAUCGGAUUUACUGGGCGUAAAGCGUGCGCAGGCGGCCCGUUAAGACAGGUGUGAAAUCCCGGGGCUCAACCUAGGAAUUGCGCUUGUGACUGGCGGGCUCGAGUACGGUAGAGGGAGGUGGAAUUCCUGGUGUAGCAGUGAAAUGCGUAGAGAUCAGGAGGAACACCGAUGGCGAAGGCAGCCCCCUGGGCCUGUACUGACGCUCAUGCACGAAAGCGUGGGGAGCAAACAGG